rnacentral:rRNA from 1 species
AACGAACGCUGGCGGCAUGCCUAACACAUGUAAGUCGAACGAAGUCUUCGGACUUAGUGGCGCACGGGUGCGUAACGCGUGGGAAUCUGCCCUUGGGUGCGGAAUAACUUCUCGAAAGGGAUGCUAGUACCGCAUAAUGUCGUAAGACCAAAGAUUUAUCGCCCAAGGAUGAGCCCGCGUAAGAUUAGCUAGUUGGUGGGGUAAAAGCCUACCAAGGCGACGAUCUUUAGCUGGUCUGAGAGGAUGAUCAGCCACACUGGGACUGAGACACGGCCCAGACUCCUACGGGAGGCAGCAGUGGGGAAUAUUGGACAAUGGGCGAAAGCCUGAUCCAGCAAUGCCGCGUGAGUGAUGAAGGCCCUAGGGUUGUAAAGCUCUUUUACCAGGGAUGAUAAUGACAGUACCUGGAGAAUAAGCUCCGGCUAACUCCGUGCCAGCAGCCGCGGUAAU